rnacentral:rRNA from 1 species
UGGGGAAUAUUGCGCAAUGGGCGAAAGCCUGACGCAGCAACGCCGCGUGCGGGAUGACGGCCUUCGGGUUGUAAACCGCUUUCAGUGGGGACGAAAUUGACGGUACCCACAGAAGAAGCCCCGGCCAACUACGUGCCAGCAGCCGCGGUAACACGUAGGGGGCGAGCGUUGUCCGGAUUUAUUGGGCGUAAAGAGCUCGUAGGCGGCUCGGUAAGUCAGGUGUGAAAACUCUAGGCUCAACCUAGAGACGCCACCUGAUACUGCCGUGGCUAGAGUCCGGUAGGGGAGCAUGGAAUUCCUGGUGUAGCGGUGAAAUGCGCAGAUAUCAGGAGGAACACCAGUGGCGAAGGCGGUGCUCUGGGCCGGAACUGACGCUGAGGAGCGAAAGCGUGGGGAGCAAACAG